rnacentral:rRNA from 1 species
GGAGGAUAGCCCGGGGAAACUCGGAUUAAUACUCCAUAAGAUUUUGAUUGGCAUCGAUUAAAAUUGAAAGAUUUAUUGGAUAAGGAUAGGCAUGCGUCAGAUUAGUUAGUUGGUAGUGUAACGGACUACCAAGGCGAUGAUCUGUAGGGGGCCUGAGAGGGUGAACCCCCACACUGGUACUGAGACACGGACCAGACUCCUACGGGAGGCAGCAGUGAGGAAUAUUGGACAAUGGAGGGAACUCUGAUCCAGCCAUCCCGCGUGCAGGAAGACGGCCCUAUGGGUUGUAAACUGCUUUUGUAUGGGGAUAAAUCUACUUACGUGUAGGUGGUUGAAGGUACCAUACGAAUAAGCAUCGGCUAACUCCGUGCCAGCAGCCGCGGUAAUACGGAGGAUGCAAGCGUUAUCCGGAUUCAUUGGGUUUAAAGGGUCCGUAGGCGGGCUGAUAAGUCAGUGGUGAAAUUUUGUCGCUCAACGAUAAAACUGCCAUUGAUACUGUUAGUCUUGAGUGAUAUUGAAGUAGCUGGAAUGUGUAGUGUAGCGGUGAAAUGCAUAGAUAUUACACAGAACACCGAUUGCGAAGGCAGGUUACUAAGUAUUAACUGACGCUGAAGGACGAAAGCGUGGGGAGC